UACGUAGGGGGCAAGCGUUGUCCGGAAUCACUGGGCGUAAAGCGCGUGUAGGCGGCCUGGCAAGUCUGUGGUGAAAGCUCAGGGCUUAACUCUGAGUCGGCCACGGAUACUGUUGGGCUCGAGUCUGGUAGAGGCAGAUGGAAUUCCGGGUGUAGCGGUGGAAUGCGUAGAGAUCCGGAAGAACACCGGUGGCGAAGGCGGUCUGCUGGGCCAGAACUGACGCUGAGGCGCGACAGCGUGGGGAGCAAACAGG
rnacentral:rRNA from 1 species